rnacentral:rRNA from 1 species
GAUGAACGCUGGCGGCGUGCCUAAUACAUGCAAGUCGAGCGAACAGACGAGGAGCUUGCUCCUCUGACGUUAGCGGCGGACGGGUGAGUAACACGUGGAUAACCUACCUAUAAGACUGGGAUAACUUCGGGAAACCGGAGCUAAUACCGGAUAAUAUAUUGAACCGCAUGGUUCAAUAGUGAAAGACGGUUUUGCUGUCACUUAUAGAUGGAUCCGCGCCGCAUUAGCUAGUUGGUAAGGUAACGGCUUACCAAGGCCACGAUGGGUAGCCGACCUGGGAGGGUGAUCGGCCACACUGGAACUGAGACACGGUCCCGGCUCCUACGGGAAGGAGCAGUAGGGAAUCUGACGCAAUGGGCGAAAGCCUGACGGAGCAACGCCGCGGGAGUGAUGAAGGUCUUCGGAUCGUAAAACUCUGUUAUUAGGGAAGAACAAAUGUGUAAGUAACUAUGCACGUCUUGACGGUACCUAAUCAGAAAGCCACGGCUAACUACGUG